GAAACGCUGGCGGCGCACAUAAGACAUGCAAGUCGAACGGAACUUAGUCGAAUGUUACAUGAGGCAAAAGUUUAGUGGCGGACGGGUGAGUAACACGUGAGCAACCUGCCUUUAGGAAGGGGGGAUAACAUUGAGAAAUCAGUGCUAAUACCGCAUAAAGCAUGAGCAUCGCAUGAAGCACAUGCCAAAGGAGAAAUCCACCUAAAGAUGGGCUCGCGGCUGAUUAGCUAGUUGGUGUGGUAACGGCAUACCAAGGCGAUGAUCAGUAGCCGAGCUGAGAGGCACAACGGCCACAUUGGGACUGAGACACGGCCCAGACUCCUACGGGAGGCAGCAGUCGGGAAUAUUGCACAAUGGAGGAAACUCUGAUGCAGUGACGCCGCGUACAGGAAGAAGGUUCUUUGGAUUGUAAACUGUUGUCGACAGGGAAGAAAAAUGACAGUACCUGUGGAGGAAGCUCCGGCAAACUACGUGCCAGCAGCCGC
rnacentral:rRNA from 1 species